GAUGAAGAACGUAGCGAAAUGCGAUAACUAAUGUGAAUUGCAGAAUUCAGUGAAUCAUCGAGUCUUUGAACGCACAUUGCGCCCCCUGGUAUUCCGGGGGGCAUGCCUGUCCGAGCGUCAUUGCUGCCCUCAAGCACGGCUUGUGUGUUGGGCUCCGUCCCCCCGGGGACGGGCCCGAAAGGCAGCGGCGGCACCGAGUCCGGUCCUUGAGCGUAUGGGGCUUUGUCACCCGCUCUGUAGGCCCGGCCGGCGCCAGCCGACAACCCAUCAUCCUUUUCAGGUUGACCUCGGAUCAGGUAGGGAUACCCGCUGAACUUAAGCAUAUCAAUAAGCGGAGGA
rnacentral:misc_RNA from 1 species